GUUCCCUCUAGUGGUUGCCAGGUCACACUGAGAAUGUGGGCUGGUAUUUUUUUUCAGGGUUGCGACAGAACUGAAGAAUGGGGAUGGGUCUGGGAUAAUUUUAAAUGCCACAAAGUUCCCUGUUUUUACCAAGAUGCAGCUGCUUUUCUUGAAUAAGUAUUCCUCAGGUUGCUACAAGCCUUUGAUUAACUUCCAGGGUUUUAAAAAAGUUGGGUCUGACCAUUUUUUGUGCUUUUUUUCUUUACUUUUAGAAAGGAGUGAAUGUUCAUAGGUCCUUACUCUGAGAUUUUUGUGUAUGCUAUGAAAAUCAACUUUUAAUCAAUAUAAAUGCUCAAACUAUCAUAACCCUCCAAAUUACUAUUCCAGUGCUCAUGUUUCUUAUAUCAUCUGCAAAGUUUUCCUGAAAGGCUUUGUCUCUUCCUUCGUGUCAAGGCAGAAAGCAAGUCAAGACCUAAAGGUCAUCCGAACAGUUGUGGUAAUCCUACUGUGAUGCUGUGAAAACAGGAAGUGAGGUUUAUUUAGCAUGCGUGGUUCCCAGGGUUGCUCACAGAUUAUAUGAAGAAUAUGGGACUUAGAAUUUUGUUAGGAAGACUAAUGCCAAUGUCAUUGGUAAAUCCUUUUAUAAACUCCUUUUUUUUUUUAGAAUUUAUUGAAAGCAAGAACAGUAUUUGCCUAUCCCCAGUACUUCUCCAACUUUCUAAAAUCUUUCAAAGGUUGUCUACUAUGGUUCCAAAACUAUGAGUACAGUUUGCUCUUGAGGAUGAACUAAGUCCACAUCGGGGGUCUAGAACAUUUCAGUUGAGUCGAUGUCCUUUUAUUCUUUACCUCUUUGGGAGUUUUGGUCGCCUCUUAACUCCAACAUUGAAGCAUUUCAAUCUUGGGCUUCAUUCAUUUUGUAGAAAAGAGAAACCCAGGUGGGGUGGGGUGUGCUUGUAAUAUCAGUAGGCUGAAGCAGGAAGAUCACAAGUUUGAGGCCAGCCUCAGCAUCUUAGUCCAUGCUUCAAAAUAAAUAAAUAAACAAACAAACAGAUAAAUAAAUAAAUAGACUGGGGACAUAGCUUAGUGGUAGAGUGCUUGCCUAGUAUGUGUGAUGACCUGAAUUUGAUCCCCAGUACUGAAGUGGGGGGGGGGAGAGAGAGAGAAAGAAAAAGAAAGAGAAGGAGGAGGUGGAGGAGGAG
rnacentral:lncRNA from 1 species